rnacentral:rRNA from 1 species
UGGGGAAUAUUGCGCAAUGGGGGCAACCCUGACGCAGCAACGCCGCGUGAAGGAUGAAGGCUUUCGGGUCGUAAACUUUUGUCAUAAGGGACGAAAUUUGACGGUACCUUAUGAGGAAGCCACGGCUAACUACGUGCCAGCAGCCGCGGUAAUACGUAGGUGGCGAGCGUUGUCCGGAAUUACUGGGUGUAAAGGGCGCGUAGACGGGUAAGUAAGUCAGAUGUGAAAUACCGGGGCUCAACUCCGGGGCUGCAUUUGAAACUAUUUAUCUUGAGUGCAGGAGAGGGAAGCGGAAUUCCUAGUGUAGCGGUGAAAUGCGUAGAUAUUAGGAGGAACACCAGUGGCGAAGGCGGCUUUCUGGACUGUAACUGACGUUGAGGCGCGAAAGCGUGGGUAGCAAACAGG